GAUGAACGCUAGCGGCAGGCCUAAUACAUGCAAGUCGAACGGAUAUAUGUUUUUCGGAAUAUAUAUUAGUGGCGCACGGGUGAGUAACACGUACAUAACUUGCCCUCAAGCGGGGGAUAGCCUUGGGAAACUGAGAGUAAUACCCCAUAGAAUUAUUGGACGGCAUCGUUUGAUAAUUAAAACUACGGUGUUUGGGGAUAGAUGUGCGUCUGAUUAGCUAGUUGGUGAGGUAACUGCUCACCAAGGCGACGAUCAGUAGGGGGCGUGAGAGCGUGGCCCCCCACACGGGUACUGAGACACGGACCCGACUCCUACGGGAGGCAGCAGUAAGGAAUAUUGGUCAAUGGAGGGAACUCUGAACCAGCCAUGCCGCGUGAAGGAUGACGGCCCUCUGGGUUGUAAACUUCUUUUGGUAUGGGGCGAAAAAACGGGAUUUAUCCUGGACUGACGGUACCAUCAGAAUAAGCACCGGCUAACUCCGUGCCAGCAGCCGCGGUAAAGUAG
rnacentral:rRNA from 1 species